CCUACGGGUGGCAGCAGUGGGGAAUAUUGCACAAUGGGGGAAACCCUGAUGCAGCAACGCCGCGUGAGUGAGGAAGUAUUUCGGUAUGUAAAGCUCUAUCAGCAGGGAAUAGAAAAGAAGGUACCUGAAAAAGAAGCACAGGCUAACUACGUGCCAGCAGCAUCGGUAAUACGUAGGGGGCAAGCGUUAUCCGGAUUUACUGGGUGUAAAGGGCGUGUAGCCGGGUUGACAAGUCAGAUGUGAAAUCCUGCGGCUUAACCGAAGAACUGCGUUUGAAACUGUUGAUAUUGAGUACUGGAGAGGCAGACGGAAUUCCGAGUGUAGCGGUGAAAUGCGUUGAUAUUAGGAGGAACACCAGUGGCGAAGGCGGUCUGCUGGACAGCAACUGCCGGUGAGGCGCGAAAGCGUGGGGAGCAAACAGGAUUAGAUACCCCUGUAGUC
rnacentral:rRNA from 1 species